GGCGAACGGGUGAGUAACGCGUGGAUAACCUGCCCAGAAGUGGGGGACAACCCGGGGAAACUCGGGCUAAUACCGCAUAACACCGAAAGGUCAAAGGGGGCCGCAAGGCUCUCGCUACUGGAGGGGUCCGCGUUCGAUUAGCUAGUUGGUAGGGUAAUGGCCUACCAAGGCGACGAUCGAUAGCCGGCCUGAGAGGGUGAUCGGCCACACUGGAACUGAGACACGGUCCAGACUCCUACGGGAGGCAGCAGUGGGGAAUUUUGCGCAAUGGGCUAACGCCUGACGCAGCAACGCCGCGUGGAGGAUGAAGGUCUUUGGAUUGUAAACUCCUGUCAGCAGGGAAAAAGCGACCUGACCUCAUACGUCAGGAAGUUGAUUGUACCUGCAGAGGAAGCCCCGGCUAACUCUGUGCCAGCAGCCGCGGUAAUACAGAGGGGGCAAGCGUUAUUCGGAAUUAUUGGGCGUAAAGGGCGCGUAGGCGGCCUGGCAAGUGGAAGGUGAAAUCCCUCGGCUUAACCGAGGAACUGCCUCCCAAACUGCUUGGCUUGAGACCGGGAGAGGUGAGUGGAAUUCCCAGUGUAGCGGUGAAAUGCGUAGAUAUUGGGAGGAACACCAGUGGCGAAGGCGGCUCACUGGACCGGUACUGACGCUGAGGCGCGAAAGCGUGGGGAGCAAACGGGAUUAGAUACCCCGGUAGUCC
rnacentral:rRNA from 1 species